rnacentral:rRNA from 1 species
CACGUAGGGUGCGAGCGUUGUCCGGAAUUAUUGGGCGUAAAGAGCUCGUAGGCGGUGUGUCGCGUCGGCCGUGAAAACCUGCAGCUUAACUGUGGGCGUGCGGUCGAUACGGGCAUCACUGGAGUUCGGCAGGGGAGACUGGAAUUCCUGGUGUAGCGGUGAAAUGCGCAGAUAUCGGGAGGAACACCAGUAGCGAAGGCGACACUCUGGACCGGUACUGACGCUGAGGAGCGAAAGCGUGGGGAGCAAACAGG